UUGUGAAACUUGGUCGUGAUGGGGAUUUUUUUUUGCAAUUAUUGCUCUUCAACGAGGAAUACCUAGUAAGCGUAUGUCAUUUUUUUUCGUUGAUUACGUCCCUGCCCUUUGUACACACCGCCCGUCGCUACUACCGAUUGAAUGAUUUAGUGAGGUCUUCGGACUGGCGCGCGGUGUUCCUUCGGGAUCGCCGCUGCCGCCGGAAAGAUGACCAAACUUGAUCAUUUAGAGGAAGUAAAAGUCGUAAUUUUUUUUUUUUUUUUGAACCUGCGGAAGGAUCAUUA
rnacentral:ncRNA from 1 species